GAUGAACGCUGGCGGCGUGCCUAAUACAUGCAAGUCGAGCGAACGGACGAGAAGCUUGCUUCUCUGAUGUUAGCGGCGGACGGGUGAGUAACACGUGGAUAACCUACCUAUAAGACUGGGGUAACAUCGGGAAACCGGAGCUAAUACCGGAUAAUAUUUUGAACCGCAUGGUUCAAAAGUGAAAGACGGUCUUGCUGUCACUUAUAGAUGGAUCCGCGCUGCAUUAGCUAGUUGGUAAGGUAACGGCUUACCAAGGCAACGAUGCAUAGCCGACCUGAGAGGGUGAUCGGCCACACUGGAACUGAGACACGGUCCAGACUCCUACGGGAGGCAGCAGUAGGGAAUCUUCCGCAAUGGGCGAAAGCCUGACGGAGCAACGCCGCGUGAGUGAUGAAGGUCUUCGGAUCGUAAAACUCUGUUAUUAGGGAAGAACAUAUGUGUAAGUAACUGUGCACAUCUUGACGGUACCUAAUCAGAAAGCCACGGCUAACUACGUG
rnacentral:rRNA from 1 species